rnacentral:rRNA from 1 species
GACGAACGCUGGCGGCGUGCUUAACACAUGCAAGUCGAACGGAAAGGCCCUGCUUUUGUGGGGUGCUCGAGUGGGGAACGGGUGAGUAACACGUGAGUAACCUGCCCUUGACUUUGGGAUAACUUCAGGAAACUGGGGCUAAUACCGGAUAGGAGCUCCUGCUGCAUGGUGGGGGUUGGAAAGUUUCGGCGGUUGGGGAUGGACUCGCGGCUUAUCAGCUUGUUGGUGGGGUAGUGGCUUACCAAGGCUUUGACGGGUAGCCGGUCUGAGAGGGUGACCGGCCACAUUGGGACUGAGAUACGGCCCAGACUCCUACGGGAGGCAGCAGUGGGGAAUAUUGCACAAUGGGCGGAAGCCUGAUGCAGCAACGCCGCGUGCGGGAUGACGGCCUUCGGGUUGUAAACCGCUUUCGCCUGUGACGAAGCGUGAGUGACGGUAAUGGGUAAAGAAGCACCGGCUAACUACGUG